AUGGCGGCGGCGCCGGAGCCGGUGGAGGUGCCGACGACGGAGGAGGCGCCCGCGCCCGCGCCCGCGGCGAGCGAGGAUCAGGCGGCGCCGGCUGCAGCGGCGGCAGGGACCAACGCGACGGUGCCUGCGCUCUACGUGGGCGAUCUCCAUGAGAACGCGCAGGAGGAGCACAUCUUCGAUGCCUUCAGUAAGGUCGGUGCUGUCACCUCCGUCAGGGUCUGCCGCGACAACGCCACCAGCAGGUCGCUCCGAUAUGGCUACGUAAAUUACUUCUCCCAAGCCGAUGCAACGACUGCUUUGGAGCAGAUGAAUCAUAGCCUUAUAUUGGACAAGCCAAUUAGAGUAAUGUGGUCUAACCGAGAUCCCGAUGCCAGGAGAAGUGGCGUUGGAAAUGUGUUUGUUAAGAACUUUGGCGAUCAUAUUGACAAUGUAAUUCUUCAAGAACUAUUCUCCAAGUUUGGAGAGAUAUUAUCUUGUAAAGUUGUUAGAAAUGAGGAUGGCACAAGUAGAGGCUACGGCUUCGUUCAGUUUGCAGCUCAAGAGCCAGCAGACAUCGCAAUAGAGACUCUUAACAACUCUUACUUUGAGGGUAGAGAAUUGCUUGUAGCUCAUUUCAUUAAGAAGAGCGAACGAUCAGCCAAUAAUGAUGACAAAUACACUAACUUGUAUAUGAAGAAUAUAGAUGAUGACAUGACAGAAGAACUCAUUAAAUUGAAGUUUUCUCAGCAUGGUCAAGUAACUAGUGUGAAGAUAAUGAAGAGAGAUGAUGGGACAUCCAAGGGUUUUGGGUUUGUCAGUUUCAAAAAUCCGGAAAGUGCCAAGAAAGCAAAAGAGGCCAUGAAUGGGAUGGCUCUUGGAGCGAAAACUUUGUACGUGGCAAGGGCUCAGAAAAAGGCUGAAAGAAAGCAAUAUUUGCAGCUCUUACAUGAGGAAAAGCGGAAUGAAAUAAUCACUAAGAGCAAUGGGUCCAAUGUGUAUAUCAAAAAUAUUAGUGAUGAAGUUGAUGAUGACACUCUUCGCGAGCGCUUUGCUGAAUUUGGAAACAUUACAUCAGUAAAGAUUAUGCGUGAUGACAAGGGCAUUAGUAAAGGAUUUGGAUUUGUAUGUUACAGCACACCCGAUGAAGCAAAGUGUGCCGUAAGCAGCAUGCGUGGUGUCAUGUUUUACGGCAAACCAUUGUAUGUUGCUAUUGCUCAAAGGAAAGAGGACAGAAAAGCUAGGCUGGAGCAACGUUUUGCUGAACUUGCUACGAUGGCAGGAACUGCAAGCCCUGUGAUCCCCACAGGUUAUCCUCAUGUGUACUUUGCCCAUCCUAGUACACACUUUCCUCAGGGUCCUUCAAGGCAAGGAUUCAUGUAUCCACCCAUUGGGCUCGGCCAAGAAUGGAGGCAGAAUGUGUACCCUUCGCCGCAUAGUAUCCAACAAAUUCAUCCACCACUCAUGCCAAAUACUCCAAGGCAGUACAGAAACAACAGGGGAUGCAUGACCGGGAAUAUGAUGACUUUUCCCCACGCCGUUAAUUAUGUGUCACAUGCUCAGACAGCUAAAGAUUUCAUGUCCAUGUCCCGGCAGCAAUUCGGCCAUGCAAAGUACAUAACACCCGAUGUUAUGAGCAAUGGCCUGGCCAUCCAUCACGGCGGCCCUAUUUCAUCGGUGAACGAUUCUUUCGCCAGCUUGCUUGCUGCUGCUCCACCUGAUCAACAAAGAGAUAUGCUCGGGAAUAGGAUAUAUCCAUUGGUCGAGAGAUAUCAUCCUGAUCUGGCCAGUAAGAUCACUGGAAUGUUGCUGGAGCUGGAUACUUCUUAUCUGCUCUCGAUGCUGAAUUCGCAGGAUACCUUGUCUGCAAAAGUUAAUGAGUGUGUGCAAGCUCUCCAAGGGCAGCAAGCGGCAAAAAAUAAGCCUGAGGAUCUGGAGGCCCUACACCCUGGCUUCCUCGACUCUACCGGUGUAAACGCCAACUGA
rnacentral:rRNA from 1 species